rnacentral:lncRNA from 1 species
GCUAGGGUUAGGGUUAGGGUUAGGGUUGUGGCUGAGGCUAGGGUUAGGGUUAGGGUUAGAGUUAUGUUUGAGGCUAGGGUUAGGGUUAGGGUUAGGGUUGUGGUUGAGGCUAGGGUUAGGGUUACGGUUAGGGUUAGGGUUGUGGUUGAGGCUAGGUUUAGGGUUAGGGUUAUGGUUGAGGCUAGGGUUAGGGUUAGGGUUAGGGUUGUGGUUGAGGCUAGGGUUAGGGUUAGGGUUAGGGUUAGGGUUAGAGUUAUGUUUGAGGCUAGGGUUAGGGUUAGAGUGAUGUUUGAGGCCAGGGCUAGGGUUAGGGUUAGGUGUGUGGUUGAGGCUAGGGUUAGGGUUAGGGUUAUUGUUGAGGAUAGGGUUAUGGUGAUUUUUGAGGCUAGGGUUAGGGUUAGGGUUAGAGUGAUGUUUGAGGCUAGGGUUAGGGUUAGGGUUAGGGUUUUGGUUGAGGCUAGGGUUAGGGUUCGGGUUAGGGUUAGAGAGAUAUUUGGGGCUAGGGUUAGGGUUAGGGUUAGGGUUGUGGUUGAGGCUAGGGUUAGGGUUAGGGUUAGGGUUAUGGUUGAGGCUAGGGUUAGGGUUAGGGUUAGGGUUACGGUUGUGGCUGAGGCUAGGGUUAGGGUUAGGGUUAGGGUUUUGGCUGAGGCUAGGGUUAGGGUUAGGGUUAGAGUUAUGUUUGAGGCUAGGGUUAGGGUUAGGGUUAGAGUAAUGUUUGAGGCUAGGGUUAGGGUUCGGGUUAGGGUUAGGGUAGUGGUUGAGGCUAGGGUUAGGGUUAGGGUUAGGGUUGUGGUUGAGGCUAGGGUUAGGGUUAGGGUUAGAGAGAUAUUUGGGGCUAGGGUUAGGGUUAGGGUUGUGGUUGAGGCUAGGGUUAGGGUUAGGGUUAGGGUUAGGGUUAGAGAGAUAUUUGGGGCUAGGGUUAGGGUUAGGGUUGUGGUUGAGGCUAGGGUUAGGGUUAGGGUUAGGGUUAUGGUUGAGGCUAGGGUUAGGGUUAGGGUUAGGGUUGUGGCUGAGGCUAGGGUUAGGGUUAGGGUUAGAGUUAUGUUUGAGGCUAGGGUUAGGGUUAGAGUGAUGUUUGAGGCCAGGGCUAGGGUUAGGGUUAGGUGUGUGGUUGAGGCUAGGGUUAGGGUUAGGGUUAUUGUUGAGGAUAGGGUUAGGGUUACGGUUGUGGCUAGGGUUAGGGUUAGGGUUAUGGUGAUUUUUGAGGCUAGGGUUAGGGUUAGGGUUAGGGUUAGAGUGAUGUUUGAGGCUAGGGUUAGGGUUAGGGUUAGGGUUGUGGUUGAGGCUAGGGUUAGGGUUAGGGUUAGGGUUAGGGUUGUGGUUGAGGCUAGGUUUAGGGUUAGGGUUAUGGUUGAGGCUAGGGUUAGGGUUAGGGUUAGGGUUGUGGUUGAGGCUAGGGUUAGGGUUAGGGUUAGGGUUAGGGUUAUGUUUGAGGCUAGGGUUAGGGUUAGAGUGAUGUUUGAGGCCAGGGCUAGGGUUAGGGUUAGGUGUGUGGUUGAGGCUAGGGUUAGGGUUAGGGUUAUUGUUGAGGAUAGGGUUAGGGUUACGGUUGUGGCUAGGGUUAGGGUUAGGGUUAUGGUGAUUUUUGAGGCUAGGGUUAGGGUUAGGGUUAGAGUGAUGUUUGAGGCUAGGGUUAGGGUUAGGGUUAGGGUUUUGGUUGAGGCUAGGGUUAGGGUUCGGGUUAGGGUUAGAGAGAUAUUUGGGGCUAGGGUUAGGGUUAGGGUUAGGGUUGUGGUUGAGGCUAGGGUUAGGGUUAGGGUUAGGGUUAUGGUUGAGGCUAGGGUUAGGGUUAGGGUUAGGGUUACGGUUGUGGCUGAGGCUAGGGUUAGGGUUAGGGUUAGGGUUUUGGCUGAGGCUAGGGUUAGGGUUAGGGUUAGAGUUAUGUUUGAGGCUAGGGUUAGGGUUAGGGUUAGAGUAAUGUUUGAGGCUAGGGUUAGGGUUCGGGUUAGGGUUAGGGUAGUGGUUGAGGCUAGGGUUAGGGUUAGGGUUAGGGUUGUGGUUGAGGCUAGGGUUAGGGUUAGGGUUAGGGUUAGAGAGAUAUUUGGGGCUAGGGUUAGGGUUAGGGUUGUGGUUGAGGCUAGGGUUAGGGUUAGGGUUAGGGUUAGGGUUAGAGAGAUAUUUGGGGCUAGGGUUAGGGUUAGGGUUGUGGUUGAGGCUAGGGUUAGGGUUAGGGUUAGGGUUAUGGUUGAGGCUAGGGUUAGGGUUAGGGUUAGGGUUGUGGCUGAGGCUAGGGUUAGGGUUAGGGUUAGAGUUAUGUUUGAGGCUAGGGUUAGGGUUAGAGUGAUGUUUGAGGCCAGGGCUAGGGUUAGGGUUAGGUGUGUGGUUGAGGCUAGGGUUAGGGUUAGGGUUAUUGUUGAGGAUAGGGUUAGGGUUACGGUUGUGGCUAGGGUUAGGGUUAGGGUUAUGGUGAUUUUUGAGGCUAGGGUUAGGGUUAGGGUUAGAGUGAUGUUUGAGGCUAGGGUUAGGGUUAGGGUUAGGGUUGUGGUUGAGGCUAGGGUUAGGGUUAGGGUUAGGGUUAGGGUUAGGGUUGUGGUUGAGGCUAGGUUUAGGGUUAGGGUUAUGGUUGAGGCUAGGGUUAGGGUUAGGGUUAGGGUUGUGGUUGAGGCUAGGGUUAGGGUUAGGGUUAGGGUUAGGGUUAGAGUUAUGUUUGAGGCUAGGGUUAGGGUUAGAGUGAUGUUUGAGGCCAGGGCUAGGGUUAGGGUUAGGUGUGUGGUUGAGGCUAGGGUUAGGGUUAGGGUUAUUGUUGAGGAUAGGGUUAGGGUUACGGUUGUGGCUAGGGUUAGGGUUAGGGUUAUGGUGAUUUUUGAGGCUAGGGUUAGGGUUAGGGUUAGAGUGAUGUUUGAGGCUAGGGUUAGGGUUAGGGUUAGGGUUUUGGUUGAGGCUAGGGUUAGGGUUUGGGUUAGGGUUAGAGAGAUAUUUGGGGCUAGGGUUAGGGUUAGGGUUAGGGUUGUGGUUGAGGCUAGGGUUAGGGUUAGGGUUAGGGUUACGGUUGAGGCUAGGGUUAGGGUUAGGGUUAGGGUUACGGUUGUGGCUGAGGCUAGGGUUAGGGUUAGGGUUAGGGUUUUGGCUGAGGCUAGGGUUAGGGUUAGGGUUAGAGUUAUGUUUGAGGCUAGGGUUAGGGUUAGGGUUAGAGUAAUGUUUGAGGCUAGGGCUAGGGUUAGGGUUAGGGUAGUGGUUGAGGCUAGGGUUAGGGUUAGGGUUAGGGUUGUGGUUGAGGCUAGGGUUAGGGUUAGGGUUAGGGUUAGAGAGAUAUUUGGGGCUAGGGUUAGGGUUAGGGUUGUGGUUGAGGCUAGGGUUAGGGUUAGGGUUAGGGUUAUGGUUGAGGCUAGGGUUAGGGUUAGGGUUACGGUUGUGGCUGAGGCUAGGGUUAGGGUUAGGGUUAGAGUUAUGUUUGAGGCUAGGGUUAGGGUUAGAGUGAUGUUUGAGGCCAGGGCUAGGGUUAGGGUUAGGUGUGUGGUUGAGGCUAGGGUUAGGGUUAGGGUUAUUGUUGAGGAUAGGGUUAGGGUUACGGUUGUGGCUAGGGUUAGGGUUAGGGUUAUGGUGAUUUUUGAGGCUAGGGUUAGGGUUAGGGUUAGAGUGAUGUUUGAGGCUAGGGUUAGGGUUAGGGUUAGGGUUUUGGUUGAGGCUAGGGUUAGGGUUCGGGUUAGGGUUAGAGAGAUAUUUGGGGCUAGGGUUAGGGUUAGGGUUAGGGUUAUGGUUGAGGCUAGGGUUAGGGUUAGGGUUAGGGUUGUGGCUGAGGCUAGGGUUAGGGUUAGGGUUAGGGUUGUGGCUGAGGCUAGGGUUAGGGUUAGGGUUAGAGUUAUGUUUGAGGCUAGGGUUAGGGUUAGGGUUAGAGUAAUGUUUGAGGCUAGGGCUAGGGUUAGGGUUAGGGUUAGGGUAGUGGUUGAGGCUAGGGUUAGGGUUAGGGUUAGGGUUGUGGUUGAGGCUAGGGUUAGGGUUAGGGUUAGGGUUAGAGAGAUAUUUGGGGCUAGGGUUAGGGUUAGGGUUGUGGUUGAGGCUAGGGUUAGGGUUAGGGUUAGGGUUAUGGUUGAGGCUAGGGUUAGGGUUAGGGUUACGGUUGUGGCUGAGGCUAGGGUUAGGGUUAGGGUUAGGGUUGUGGCUGAGGCUAGGGUUAGGGUUAGGGUUAGAGUUAUGUUUGAGGCUAGGGUUAGGGUUAGGGUUAGGGUUGUGGUUGAGGCUAGGGUUAGGGUUAGGGUUAGGGUUAGGGUUAUGGUUGAGGCUAGGGUCGGGUUAGGGUUAGGGUUGUGGCUGAGGCUAGGGUUAGGGUUAGGGUUAGGGUUAUGGUGAUUUUUGAGGCUAGAGUUAGGGUUAGGGUUACGGUUGUGGUUGAGGCUAGGGUUAGGGUUAGGGUUAGAGAGCUUUUCGAGGCUAGGGUUAGGGUUAUGGUUAUGGUUGAGGCUAGGGUUAGGGUUAUGGUUAUGGUUAUGGUUGAGGCUAGGGUUAGGGUUAGGGUUAUGGUUGAGGCUAGGGUUAGGGUUUUGGCUGAGGCUUGGGUUAGGGUUACGUUUGAGGCUAGGGUUAGGGUUAGGGUUAGAGUGAUGUUUGAGGCUAGGGAUAGGGUUAGGGUUAGGGUUGUGGUUGAGGCUAGGGUUAGGGUUAGGGUUAGAGAGAUAUUUGAGGCUAGGGUUAGGGUUACGGUUAGAGUGAUGUUUGAGGCUAGGGUUAGGGUUAUGGUUGAGGCUAGGGUUAGGGUUAGGGUUAGAGUUGUGGCUGAGGCUAGGGUUAGGGUUUGGGUUAGGGUUACAUUUGAGGCUAGGGUUAGGGUUAGGGUUAGAGUGAUGUUUGAGGCUAGGGUUAGGGUUAGGGUUAGGGUUGUGGUUGAGGCUAGGGUUAGGGUUAGGGUUGUGGAUGAGGCUAGGGUUAGAGUUAGGGUUAUGUUGAGGCUAGGGUUAGGGUUAGGGUUAUGUGUGAGGCUAGAGUAAGGGUUAGGGUUAGGGUCGAGGCUAGGGUUAGGGUUAGGGUUAUGGUUGAGGCUAGGGUUAGGGUUCGGGUCAGGGUUGAUGCUAGGGUUAGGGUUAGGGUCAUUGAUGAGGCUAGUGUUAGGGUUAGGGUUGAGGCCAGGGUUAGGGUUUGAGCUCGGGGUAGGGGUUAGGGGUUAGGAUUAGGGUUUGUGUACGGGUUGAUGUUCGGUCUAGGGUCAGGGCUAGGGUCAGGGUUAGGGUUAGGGUAAGGGUUGAGGUUCGGGCUAGGGUCAGGGCUAGGGUUAGGGUUAGGGUUGAGGCUAGGGUUAGGGUUAGGGUUAGGGUUAGGGUUCGGGUUAGGGUCAUGGAUUUCGGCUAAGAAUCACUUUCCAGGACCUUUCUACAU